AGUGCGCAUGGGCUUUCCCAGAAGUCGGUGCAGUCACAGACGGACAGAGAGCUAGAGACCUGCCGUGCCAACCCGCCAACGUUCCUCUGCCGCAGUCGAUUCUGGAUCAUCCUGAUGUCCCUGGAAACUGAGGCUCUUGAAUCUAUGACACUUUACAACUAGACUCUGAGGCCCUGACCUGGGACGUCCCCAGCAAGGGAGAGCCCCGCAGUCAGGUCACCGGUUAGUUAACACGGGCACUGCAGUGUCUGGAAAGGGAACAGUGGCCCCAACGAUAUGGUUCUGAGAACCUAGGACCUGCUCACCGCCCUGUGCCCAGUGGGGGCCUCCUUCGUGGGUUCAGAUUCAUGUGUGGAUUUUUAUGUCUCCAACCGCAUGACAUAGCAGCCUUGAGAAAUUUCCUCUUGGUUAAAGCAGAGACCCUGGUAACACCACCCCACCAGGGUCCCAAGGAUAAGGCGGAAAACCUCCCCACCAGAAACGGUUCGAAGCUACAAACCAGGCAGUCCCCGGCUCCCAGUCCACCCAGCAUAAGGUGGGUGAGUGGGAAGGAGACGCCGGCACGAAAAACGCCCCUCUGGAGCGAAGACUGAGAAGCACAACCUCCCCUGGUCCAUCCACGUGCGCCAAUCCGAGCAGGAGGAACAGCCAGGACGCCACGGCCCCCUGCCGGGGUCCUCGCGAGAGUGUUUGUUCCAAAACGUGUGGACCUCGGAUCCAUCAGUUGCCCAUCAGCUCUAGCCGUCAAGGCAGUUUCUAACCCUGUAGUGUCGGCCGUCUUCACUCACUGGCCUGCACGCGGCACCCCCUCCCCCCCCCCCCCCCCCCGUCUCCUGGCGCGAUGUCCUGGCCACCCCGAGCCUCCGGGGGCCACGGGCUUUGCUGCGAACUUCACACGUCAGUGGGACGGGGCUCGGGUUUCUUUUCUGCUAAGUGUGCUGCUUUGUGGAAAACCAUCCCAGUUCCGGAUGCCGUGGGAGAGCCUAGCAGUUGCUUUUUCAACCCUGCAAGGCUCCAAAUUACCAAGCUCUCGGUCACUUUCAGUGGCAGGCUGCAGGCAGGGAGCAUCUCCAUCAUCACAGGGCGUCCCCUCUUCCCAUGCCUACGCCGGCCGCUCUCUUGUAAAGCUUUGCUAAGGGCAGCAAGCAGCGGCUACCACACUUCUGCGUCACGGCUCUCUCCUGUCAUCCCUCCCUCGAUCCGAGCUCAGAACACAGGCCGCUUUUCAAAAAACAGUAGGGGACAGCUGUUAGCAACUGCUUCAUUUCUCCACGCUGUCGCCAGGCCUCUGGCCCACAGUGUUUGAGUCCCUGACACCUGCCAACAUCCACGGAGUCGGUGCCACAUGUCUCUGUUCUGCUACUCACAGCUCACCUCUCUUGGUCCUUUUUUUUCUAUCAGUUAAGAUUAGAUUUGCCCGGAAAAUCCAAAGGAGCAGUGGCUUCAACGGGACUUUUAAAUCUCCCGCAUUCUGAGUCCACAGUAAGGUGGUCCAUGGACGGUCCAGCGGGACUCCAUGGCGGCAGGAACUGACCCAUCUUCUAUCUUGCUGGCAUGCCAUAUACCAGCACUAAUGGUGAUGCCCAGGAUAGCUGCCUCAGCGCCAGCCAUCAAAUCCUUAUUCCAACCCAGUAGAAGAAGAAGAGUGGGAACAGACAGACACAUCUGCCCUCAUCAGGGACACUUCCAGGAAGUUGCCUUCCGUUGGCCAGAACUUAGUCGCAUGGUCAUACCUGGCUCAAGGGAGGAUGGAAGGGUCACUUCCAUUCUGGAUGGCAGAAAAGUCAAGUUUCUGUUGAGGAAUGAGAGGUGAUGGAUUUGGGGGCAAUUAGGCUCUGCUAAUGUGGAAAAGUUCAGUAUCAGUGUCUCUCCUAUUCUAGCUCUAGAAUUCUCUAGCCUCCUCCUUCUUCAGGACAGAUUUAUGUCUCUGACAUGCACCUUGCAGAAGAGACAAUGACCGGACAAGGUGUGCAGUCUUCUGCCCACGCAUCAUUCUUGAGGAUGCUUUUGCUACACCUACUUCACGGGGACAUAAAGUGAGGGUCUCCGGGCUACUGUUUCUGUUAGGGAGGUUUUAACAGCUAGGAGGGCUUCUGUGCUCAGUGAAUCACAGAAGUGACCAAAACAAACACCUCCGAUGAGAAGCACCCAUAAAACCAACAAGACUAUUAAUGCAGAUGGAAAACCAAAAUUGAUGAAAUGCAAAAUAUUUAACUUCCCAGACUGCAGCUAGCCUUGGACUACUAAGUCAUUUAGAGGCUAAUGUUCUUAAUAAAAUCACAUUUUCCCUGAAAAUAUGUACU